rnacentral:rRNA from 1 species
UGCUUCUAUGACGUUAGCGGCGGACGGGUGAGUAACACGUGGGCAACCUGCCUGUAAGACUGGGAUAACUUCGGGAAACCGAAGCUAAUACCGGAUAGGAUCUUCUCCUUCAUGGGAGAUGAUUGAAAGAUGGUUUCGGCUAUCACUUACAGAUGGGCCCGCGGUGCAUUAGCUAGUUGGUGAGGUAACGGCUCACCAAGGCAACGAUGCAUAGCCGACCUGAGAGGGUGAUCGGCCACACUGGGACUGAGACACGGCCCAGACUCCUACGGGAGGCAGCAGUAGGGAAUCUUCCGCAAUGGACGAAAGUCUGACGGAGCAACGCCGCGUGAGUGAUGAAGGCUUUCGGGUCGUAAAACUCUGUUGUUAGGGAAGAACAAGUACGAGAGUAACUGCUCGUACCUUGACGGUACCUAACCAGAAAGCCACGGCUAACUACGUGCCAGCAGCCGCGGUAAUACGUAGGUGGCAAGCGUUAUCCGGAAUUAUUGGGCGUAAAGCGCGCGCAGGCGGUUUCUUAAGUCUGAUGUGAAAGCCCACGGCUCAACCGUGGAGGGUCAUUGGAAACUGGGGAACUUGAGUGCAGAAGAGAAAAGCGGAAUUCCACGUGUAGCGGUGAAAUGCGUAGAGAUGUGGAGGAACACCAGUGGCGAAGGCGGCUUUUUGGUCUGUAACUGACGCUGAGGCGCGAAAGCGUGGGGAGCAAACAGGAUUAGAUACCCUGGUAGUCCACGCCGUAAACGAUGAGUGCUAAGUGUUAGAGGGUUUCCGCCCUUUAGUGCUGCAGCUAACGCAUUAAGCACUCCGCCUGGGGGAGUACGGUCGCAAGACUGAAACUCAAAGGAAUUGACGGGGGCCCGCACAAGCGGUGGAAGCAUGUGGGUUUAAUUCGAAGCAACGCGAAGAACCUUACCAGGUCUUGACAUCCUCUGACAACUCUAGAAGAUAGAGCGUUCCCCCUUCGGGGGACAGAGUGACAGGU